AGCUUCACACAGUGGUAAUAUCAUAACCAGUGAGGUCUAGCUAGGCACAAUUAUUGCUAAUUGAAAACUUUUCCCACUGCCCCACCAUGACAAGUUGCAAUAUAGUCAGCACUGGCAAUUUUUGACAGUUUGUAUGGAGA
ensembl:snRNA U4 U4 spliceosomal RNA